rnacentral:rRNA from 1 species
GAUCCUGGCUCAGGACGAACGCGGCGGCGUGCCUAACACAUGCAAGUCGAACGAGGUCCAUCCAGUAGCAAUACUGGGGAAGACCUAGUGGCGAACGGGUGAGUAACACGUGAGGAACCUGCCCCGAAGACUGGGAUAACGCUCCGAAAGGAGCGCUAAUACCGGAUACCUUCACCAGAUCGCAUGAUCCAGUGAAGAAAUGGAUUCCGCUUCGGGAGGGCCUCGCGGCCUAUCAGCUUGUUGGUGGGGUAAUGGCCCACCAAGGCUUCGACGGGUAGCUGGUCUGAGAGGACGAUCAGCCACACUGGGACUGAGACACGGCCCAGACUCCUACGGGAGGCAGCAGUGGGGAAUCUUGCGCAAUGGGCGAAAGCCUGACGCAGCAACGCCGCGUGGGGGAUGAAGGCCUCGGGUCGUAAACCCUUCAGCAGGGUACGCAAACUGACGGGUACCUGCAUAAAAAGUCCCCGGCCCAAACUAACUGUGC